GCCUGCUUGGCGCAGUGGUAACGCGUAGCACUUGUAUGUAAAUGAAAUGCUAAGAUCAUUGGUUCGAUUCCAGUAGUAGGCA
rnacentral:tRNA from 1 species